GGCUCAGGAUGAACGCUGGCGGCGUGCCUAAUACAUGCAAGUCGAGCGAAUGAUGAGGAGCUUGCUCCUCUGAUUUAGCGGCGGACGGGUGAGUAACACGUGGGUAAUCUGCCUGUAAGACGGGGAUAACUCCGGGAAACCGGGGCUAAUACCGGAUAAUAAGAGAAGAAGCAUUUCUUCUUUUUGAAAGUCGGUUUCGGCUGACACUUACAGAUGAGCCCGCGGCGCAUUAGCUAGUUGGUGAGGUAACGGCUCACCAAGGCGACGAUGCGUAGCCGACCUGAGAGGGUGAUCGGCCACACUGGGACUGAGACACGGCCCAGACUCCUACGGGAGGCAGCAGUAGGGAAUCUUCGGCAAUGGGCGAAAGCCUGACCGAGCAACGCCGCGUGAGCGAUGAAGGCCUUCGGGUCGUAAAGCUCUGUUGUUAGAGAAGAACAAGUACGAGAGUAACUGCUCGUACCUUGACGGUACCUAACCAGAAAGCCACGGCUAACUACGUGCCAGCAGCCGCGGUAAUAC
rnacentral:rRNA from 1 species